rnacentral:misc_RNA from 1 species
GAUGAAGAACGUAGCGAAAUGCGAUAAGUAAUGUGAAUUGCAGAAUUCAGUGAAUCAUCGAAUCUUUGAACGCACCUUGCGCCCUUUGGCUAUUCCGAAGGGCAUGCCUGUUUGAGUAUCAUGAACACCUCAACUCUCAUGGCUUGCCAUGAUGAGCUUGGACUUUGGGGGUCUUGCCGGCCUAUGGGUCGGCUCCUCUCAAAUUAAUCAGCUUGCCAGUGUUUGGUGGCAUCACAGGUGUGAUAACUAUCUACGCUUGUGGUUUUCCAUCAGGUAACCUUCAGUGAUGGAGGUUCGCUGGGGCUCAUAAAUGUCUCUCCUCAGUGAGGACAGCUUUUUUGAACGUUUGAUCUCAAAUCAGGUAGGACUACCCGCUGAACUUAAGCAUAUCAAUAAGCGGAGGA